AUCCAACUGACGAGUCUCAAGUGGGAUGAAACGUGCGUACUGGAU
rnacentral:hammerhead_ribozyme from 1 species